rnacentral:sRNA from 1 species
CUACCUAUGCUGUUAGCCUUGAGAGGCUAG